rnacentral:rRNA from 1 species
UGGGGAAUAUUGCACAAUGGGCGCAAGCCUGAUGCAGCCAUGCCGCGUGUAUGAAGAAGGCCUUCGGGUUGUAAAGUACUUUCAGCGGGGAGGAAGGGAGUAAAGUUAAUACCUUUGCCCAUUGACGUUACCCGCAGAAGAAGCACCGGCUAACCCCGGGCCAGCAGCUGCGGUAAUACGGGGGGUGCAAGCGUUAAUCGGAAUUACUGGGCGUAAAGCGCACGCAGGCGGUUUGUUAAGUCAGAUGUGAAAUCCCCGGGCUCAACCUGGGAACUGCAUCUGAUACUGGCAAGCUUGAGUCUCGUAGAGGGGGGUAGAAUUCCAGGUGUAGCGGUGAAAUGCGUAGAGAUCUGGAGGAAUACCGGUGGCGAAGGCGGCCCCCUGGACGAAGACUGACGCUCAGGUGCGAAAGCGUGGGGAGCAAACAGG